rnacentral:rRNA from 1 species
UACGUAGGGUGCGAGCGUUGUCCGGAAUUAUUGGGCGUAAAGAGCUUGUAGGCGGUUUGUCGCGUCUGCUGUGAAAUUUCGGGGGCUCAACCCCCGAACUUGCAGUGGGUACGGGGCAGACUAGAGUGUGGUAGGGGGAGACUGGAAUUCCUGGUGUAGCGGUGAAAUGCGCAGAUAUCAGGAGGAACACCGAUGGCAAAGCAGCUUUCUGGGACGGUACUGACGCUGAGACGCGAAAGCGUGGGGAGCGAACAGG